CAGCGCGGCGCUCCCGCCGCAAGGACGCGCCGGCCCGGGCGGGCUGGGGGAGGGCUCCGGGCCCACCGGGGGCUGCCGGGCUCCGGCACGGCGGGGCCUGAGCUCUGCGUGCGGCUGGAGCCGCCCAGGCUGUCGUGGCGUGACGGGGGGUUCUCGCCAACAAAAAUAGGUUUUAACGGUGUGAUGGAGGCGGGUGAAUGCACAAGGAGGCUGCCUUUCUAGAAGUAAAGAAUUCAGGAUCUCCUGCUAUGCACUCUGCACGCACUAUGGUGUGGGUUGUUAUUUUAUUUUGCCGAGGUGAAAUGUCAUGAUGGCCUUUUCAGGCUGGUAAAUAUUACUAUUGCAAUUUCUUAAAGAAAAACACAAGGAGAAGUUCAGUUGCGGCUUUUCCAGUCUUCUUGCUGUUUCAGUUGCACUUCCACCGUGUUUUCCUCCUACUCUGUGUUUUCAAAUGUUGAAUAACUCUAGUCAGUUUCCAUGUGCUGUUCUAGUGUAUUUAAGUAUCUUAAAAACAAGAGAACACUCAGACAAUUGUCUGCUGAAUCAAAUCAUAUUGUCUGCUGAGUCAAAUAUAGCUCCUGUUACUGAGGAAUGGAUUUGACCUAGUGAAAGGAAGACAGAUCAGUUGGUAAUUUGUGAGGGUAUUUUUUUAACUCAUAGCAUAAUAAUCCAUGUACCAAAAUAACACAUUGUAGAGCAGUUGCUCUUCACCCAUUUUAAGAAUAUGUACCACACUUCUGAACUGCCUUUCUGUCAUGUAGACUAAAACAUACAUGUUGUCAUAACUGUUGCAUUUGUUUGUUUUUUUUAUGCUAAUAAAAGACUUGGUGUUAAUGUUACAUUCACAGAAGUUUACAUCAUGAAGGACUAUGUACAUCAUGCAGUGGUAAUUGUUCUGUUUAGCAGCUAAAACAAAUAGUAUAUUCUGCCUGUUUUAACCAUGUUUUUCUUUUCCAGAAUUGCAGGAAAAGUGAACUUUAUGGAAUAAAAAUACUUACGUCUGUCCAAGGAAGCAGAAUUGGGUCUCUUUGAAGGUGCCAAGUUGUACAUAAUAUGACAUUGAUAUUGGUAUAUAAAGCAGUCCUCACCAUGCAGAUUAUAGAAAUAAUAGUAGAAUUAGAAGUAAUUAGGAUUUUAUAGAAAUAAUAGAGAAUAACUACAGAGAAUCAGCAGUUGUAAGGUUGAUGGUUAUUCUCUGGCUUGGAAGUAGUGGUAUCUCUAAUUAUUGUCUGUUCCAGGGAGCACUUUUAGGAAAUGUAGUCAGAGUAAUAAACACACUGUGUUUUCUCAGAUUUGAAGUUUUAGGAUUAUCCUGGGUGGUAUUUUGUUCCUGUCAUUGUGAAUGCUCCAGAGAGUUUGGUCUCAGUGCUUAGCAGGAAUGAUAGAAAGCAAGCAGGCUUUCAUCUAAAUGCCGAAGAGUUUUUUAAUUAGUCAUUCAUGUCAACCGUUUUUUCCUCAAUUGAUAUUUUCAGGAAAGCACAAAUUUGCUUAAACCUUGAAAUUUAUUUUCUUCAUGUAUUACAUGAAGGGAACCUAAGGGUGUUUUCUUAACCAAUAACUGAGCAAAUUUACAGUUCUUUUAAAUCUAUUUUGUUUUAAUGUUUUCUGGGUUUUGGGGUUUUUUUUAACUGUUGAUCAGUGAGUGUUUUGGCUGUCAUCUGUUUAUUCUUAUAAAAAUCGCAGCAUGACAAGACAACUCCCUUCUUAAAGAAGAGAACAAUUUUUUUUUGUGCUAAACAAAUGCUGAAAUGCUGUGCCUUUUCUCUUUAGUGUCCUACAUAUUUAGAAUUAAAAUGUGCUUUGGCACUUGGCACUUGCUGAACAUUUGCAGUUUUGAAGAUGUGUUUAUGAGGAAAGUGCACAAUGAUACUAGCUCUAAGUUUAUUAGUUGAGGCAUUCAUCUGUAACCAGAGAAGCUGUAGUCCAGUUAUGGAUGUCAGAUGUUUACAUAUACUGGAUGUUGAAAUCAUGUGCUGUAUUUAAAAAAAUUGCUUCAGUUUUUUUAUUAAGUCAUGUAUGUGUGUGAGAAUUUCACUGGCAGAGCAUAUGGUUUUUAUAAUAGUAUAGUACCUACCAUAUCAUUUAUUUUGAGUACAAAUUGCAUCCAUUCCAAUGCAGUGAAUUGGACUGAAAGAUAAAGUGAGGGUAGUUGUUUCUGUAGGCUAGAAGAGUCAGAUUCACGGGCCAGUGUUCUGUGGCUUUUGGUAGGAAGCUUUUAGGCAAGGCUUGGCCUGUGCAAGAUUCACUGGGUUGUUGCUUGUGCCUGGAGGGAACAAGUUCCCCUCCCUGGGAGGAUGAAGUGGGAGGUGAGACUCCCUUGUGCUCCUGAAGGAUCAGAUACUUGCCUCUUCUGUCCCAAGGGGAUGUUGCUGGUAUGCACUCAGGACCUGUCACUUAAAGCCAUUGACCAUUUCUGGCUCAGGUCACAGGAGCUGUAGAUCACAGGAGCUGUGUGGGGUUUCUUCAGGGUUGGCUCUUGCUUACCUGCUGUGAAAGCAGAAGUCCAGGAGGAUUUGUGAUGUGCUGUGGUAUCUGUAGAAACAGGUUGGUUAUGCUGAGCUUUAGAAUCUGGGCAUAGGUUUAGAAAAAUAACUAAAUUCAUAUAAGUACUGUUUUUCCCCCAGCUGCACCUGUGUCUGUCUGUGUACCUUGUUUUUGAUGUCGAUUCUUCAAAACUGGACAUAAACACACCUCAACUUGGAAACUAAAAGUAUUUUGUGCCUACAGUUAAAACUAAAU